rnacentral:rRNA from 1 species
AACGAACGCUGGCGGCAGGCUUAACACAUGCAAGUCGAACGGGCGUAGCAAUACGUCAGUGGCGGACGGGUGAGUAACACGUGGGAAUAUGCCUUUCGGUUCGGAACAACUCGGGGAAACCCGUGCUAAUUCCGGAUACGCCCUUACGGGAAAGAUUUAUCGCCGAAAGAUUAGCCCGCGUUGGAUUAGCUAGUUGGUGAGGUAAAGGCUCACCAAGGCGACGAUCCAUAGCUGGUUUGAGAGAACGACCAGCCACACUGGGACUGAGACACGGCCCAGACUCCUACGGGAGGCAGCAGUGGGGAAUCUUGGACAAUGGAGGAAACUCUGAUCCAGCCAUGCCGCGUGAGUGAUG